AUCCUGGCUCAGGACGAACGCUGGCGGCGUGCCUAAUACAUGCAAGUCGAGCGGACGGAUGGGAGCUUGCUCCCUGAAGUCAGCGGCGGACGGGUGAGUAACACGUGGGCAACCUGCCUGUAAGACUGGGAUAACUUCGGGAAACCGGAGCUAAUACCGGAUAAUGCAUAACCUCUCAUGAGGUUAUGCUGAAAGAUGGUUUCGGCUAUCACUUACAGAUGGGCCCGCGGCGCAUUAGCUAGUUGGUGAGGUAACGGCUCACCAAGGCAACGAUGCGUAGCCGACCUGAGAGGGUGAUCGGCCACACUGGGACUGAGACACGGCCCAGACUCCUACGGGAGGCAGCAGUAGGGAAUCUUCCGCAAUGGACGAAAGUCUGACGGAGCAACGCCGCGUGAGUGAUGAAGGUUUUCGGAUCGUAAAACUCUGUUGUUAGGGAAGAACAAGUGCCGGAGUAACUGCCGGCACCUUGACGGUACCAACCAGAAAG
rnacentral:rRNA from 1 species